rnacentral:rRNA from 1 species
AGUGAACGCUGGCGGUAGGCCUAACACAUGCAAGUCGAACGGCAGCACAGUAAGAGCUUGCUCUUACGGGUGGCGAGUGGCGGACGGGUGAGGAAUACAUCGGAAUCUACUUUUUCGUGGGGGAUAACGUAGGGAAACUUACGCUAAUACCGCAUACGACCUACGGGUGAAAGCAGGGGAUCUUCGGACCUUGCGCGAUUGAAUGCGCCGAUGUCGGAUUAGCUAGUUGGCGGGGUAAAGGCCCACCAAGGCGACGCUCCGUAGCUGGUCUGAGAGGAUGAUCAGCCACACUGGAACUGAGACACGGUCCAGACUCCUACGGGAGGCAGCAGUGGGGAAUAUUGGACAAUGGGCGCAAGCCUGAUCCAGCCAUACCGCGUGGGUGAAGAAGGCCUUCGGGUUGUAAAGCCCUUUUGUUGGGAAAGAAAAGCAGCAGGUUAAUACCCCGCUGUUCUGACGGUACCCAAAGAAUAAGCACCGGCUAACUUCGUG